rnacentral:rRNA from 1 species
AGAGUUUGAUCAUGGCUCAGAACGUACGCUGGCGGCACGCCUUAUACAUGCAAGUCGAACGAAGUAGCAAUACUUAGUGGCAGACGGGUGAGUAACAUGUGGGUAUCUUCCCAUUGGUGAGGAAUAACACGAGGAAACUUGUGCUAAUACCUCAUAAGUCUUUACAGAGAAAGCUUUAUGCGCCAAUGGAUGAGCUCGCACUUGAUUAGUUUGUUGGUGGGGUAAUGGCCUACCAAGACUUUGAUCAAUAGCUGAUCUGAGAGGAUGAUCAGCCACAUUGGGACUGAGACACGGCCCAAACUCCUACGGGAGGCAGCAGUAGGGAAUAUUGCACAAUGGAGGAAACUCUGAUGCAGCGAUGCCGCGUGAGUGAAGAAGGCCUUUGGGUUGUAAAGCUCUUUCGUCGGGGAAGAAAAUGACUGUACCCGAAUAAGAAGGUCCGGCUAACUUCGUGCCAGCCGCCGCGGU